rnacentral:rRNA from 1 species
GAUGAACGCUGGCGGCGUGCUUAACACAUGCAAGUCGAACGAAGCAUUUGCGACAGAUUUUUUCGGAAUGAAGUUGCUUAUGACUGAGUGGCGGACGGGUGAGUAACGCGUGGGUAACCUGCCUUGUACUGGGGGAUAGCAGCUGGAAACGGCUGGUAAUACCGCAUAAGCGCACAAUGUUGCAUGACAUGGUGUGAAAAACUCCGGUGGUAUAAGAUGGACCCGCGUCUGAUUAGCUAGUUGGUGAGAUAACAGCCCACCAAGGCGACGAUCAGUAGCCGACCUGAGAGGGUGACCGGCCACAUUGGGACUGAGACACGGCCCAGACUCCUACGGGAGGCAGCAGUGGGGAAUAUUGCACAAUGGAGGAAACUCUGAUGCAGCGACGCCGCGUGAGAGAAGAAGUAAUUCGUUAUGUAAAGCUCUAUCAGCAGGGAAGAUAGUGACGGUACCUGACUAAGAAGCUCCGGCUAAAUACGUG